rnacentral:rRNA from 1 species
CGCGUAGGCGGAUGUAUAAGUCAGAUGUGAAAUUCCGGGGCUCAAAUUCGGAGCUGCAUUUGAAACUAUAGAUCUUGAGGAUUGGCGGAGAGAACGGAAUUCCACGUGUAGCGGUGAAAUGCGUAGAUAUGUGGAAGAACACCGGGUGGCGAAAGCGGUUCUCUAGCUUAUACCUGACGCUGAGGCGCGAGAGCAAGGGGAGCAAACA